UGAAAAUUAUUUGGAAGGGAGCAGACGACCGGAGACGAGAGAUAGGAAAGGACAGGCGUGAAAGAGGUCUUACUGUACAUGUGGAUGCAGGGACCGGUUAAUAAGUAAACUAGUUGCUUGCUCAGUCAAGGAACUACAGAGGGACUCACUGGUAGUGUGGAAUCCCCAGCGAAACCGCCUAGACGACGGAGAAGAUUUUUGAGAGAGAGGACGGGCGGAAAACUGAAAAGAGGUCUUGCGGAUACAGAGACGGCUGUGAGCAGUGAAGAGAGGCGGACUGAAAGUGUGGAGUGUCCGGCUUUGGAUCUUGUGUGUUGAUCCCAGGGAAUAUAUUCUUAGUCGUCGACUAGGUGUCUGGCAAGUCAGCACUUAUAUUAAGAACCGGAACGUGUAUGUGGUUUCCCCUAAAAGUUUCGUUAUGGAUAUCAGCCAAGUGUUGCCAAGACUGCACAAUUUCUGGACCAGGGAAAGGGAGGAAUUUACCAGGACGAUUUAUUUUUGGAUGCUGUGGCAAUCACUUUGAGACUGCUUUGAAGGAUGUUCCUCCUGAACAAAGAUGCAAGUGUCCAAAGGAGAGCAAAAUGUAAGGAGCACAAGGCCCACAGCAACAUUCCUGAUUGAAUGAGGCUGUGGCAAUCACAUUGAGACUGCUUUGAAGGAUGUUCCUCCUGAACAAAGAUGCAAGUGUCCAAAGGAGAGCAAAAUGUAAGGAGCACAAGGCCCACAGCAACAUUCCUGAGUGAAUGAGGCUGUGGCAAUCACAUUGAGACUGCUUUGAAGGAUGUUCCUCCUGAACAAAGAUGCAAGUGUCCAAAGGAGAGCAAAAGCAGGUCACCGAGCAGCCAAACACAACAGGGAUAAACAUUACACAAGAAAUAUCUUAUCAGUGACCUCCCUUAUGUCUUCUCGUAAUCUGGAUAAUCUACCUACCUGAAAGUGUUUGUGAGUAGACAUGUUUCUCCUUCCCCUGAUUGAAAUUUAUAUCCCUGAAGAUAAUAUAUGUGGGUGAGUUAUAGCUGCACCUACUUGAAAGUGUUUGUGAGCAGACAGGUUUUUCCUUCCCCUAUUUGAAAUUUAUAUCCGUGAAGAUGGUCAUAGGGUAGGUUAAGGUGGAGGAAAAUUUGUGUAAAUUGUCAGGAAUAUGUUUGUUGGGAUAUGUAUAUUGAUGUAUGCGGUAGUUGGCUUGUUUUUUUUUUCCUGCUGUAAUAUUGUUUAUACAGCUACUACUAGCCGGUGAGUGGCUUUUUUUUUUCCUGAGGGGGAGUGGGGUCUGAAUAAGGGUCCAAAAACAUAAAAACAUAAGAUCAUCACCCAGGGCAAAAUAUGGUGACUAUUUUAUGUCACCUUCCCUUACCUUUCCUUUGUGUUUGUUUGUUUAUUUUUUGUUCAUAUUUUUUGCUAUGUUUUUUGUGCUUUUUGUCUGAGUUCUUGUCAAGCUGAGGCAUGUUUCCAAACUUGAGACUGUUCCUUCUCCCCGCUCCCGUCAAGGAAAAACCCCAAUCACACCACACACAUCCAAAACAAUACUACACUCUUUCCUUUGUUCUUCCAACCAAACAACCUAUCAACAUAAACUUAAUCA